GACGAACGCUGGCGGCGUGCUUAACACAUGCAAGUCGAACGGAAAGGCCCUGCUUGCAGGGUACUCGAGUGGCGAACGGGUGAGUAACACGUGGGUGAUCUGCCCUGCACUUCGGGAUAAGCCUGGGAAACUGGGUCUAAUACCGGAUAGGAGCCAUUUUUAGUGUGAUGGUUGGAAAGUUUUUUCGGUGUAGGAUGAGCUCGCGGCCUAUCAGCUUGUUGGUGGGGUAAUGGCCUACCAAGGCGGCGACGGGUAGCCGGCCUGCGAGGGUGGACGGCCACAUUGGGACUGAGAGACGGCCCAGACUCCUACGGGAGGCAGCAGGGGGGAAGAUUGCACAAUGGGCGCAAGCCUGAUGCAGCGACGCCGCGUGGGGGAUGACGGCCUUCGGGUUGUAAACUCCUUUCGCUAGGGACGAAGCUUUUUGUGACGGUACCUAGAUAAGAAGCACCGGCUAACUACGUG
rnacentral:rRNA from 1 species